CAGUAGCCGCGGUAAUACGUAGGGUCCGAGCGUUGUCCGGAAUUAUUGGGCGUAAAGGGCUCGUAGGCGGUUUGUUGCGUCGGGAGUGAAAACCCAGGGCUUAACUUUGGGCUUGCUUUCGAUACGGGCAGACUUGAGGCAUUGAGGGGAGAACGGAAUUCCUGGUGUAGCGGUGAAAUGCGCAGAUAUCAGGAGGAACACCGGUGGCGAAGGCGGUUCUCUGGCAAUGUUCUGACGCUGAGGAGCGAAAGUGUGGGGAGCGAACAGGAUUAGAUACCCCAGUAGUCCCUGUCUCUUUACA
rnacentral:rRNA from 1 species